GGUUGAGUGUCCGAGCGGUCUAAGGAGCACGCCUCGAAAGCGUGUGAGGUGAAAACCUCCGAGAGUUCGAAUCUCUCCUCAACCGCCG
rnacentral:tRNA from 1 species